rnacentral:rRNA from 1 species
UACGAAGGGGGCUAGCGUUGUUCGGAAUUACUGGGCGUAAAGCGCGCGCAGGCGGUCUUCCAAGUCAGUGGUGAAAGCCUGGAGCUCAACUCCAGAACUGCCAUUGAAACUGUUAGACUUGAGUACGAGAGAGGUGAGUGGAAUUCCCAGUGUAGAGGUGAAAUUCGUAGAUAUUGGGAAGAACACCGGUGGCGAAGGCGGCUCACUGGCUCGGUAACUGACGCUCAGGCGCGGACAGCGUGGGGGAUCGAAACAAGG